rnacentral:misc_RNA from 1 species
GCAAGAGAUCAAGAGGAUUCUUUGGCUUUGGUUUCGGUGCUUCCUCUUCUUCCUCCACAGCCACAACUUCUUUAGGUUUCACAGCCUCUUUCUUGACUUCCUUCUUUGCCUCCUUAGGCUUGGGAUGGACAGGCUUCUUUGGUACAGGAGGAACAGAUUCUGCCUGCUUUACCUCGCCAAUCACCUUGAGGAAAUUUGGUUGGUUAACCAAAGUCCAAAAGUACCUUUCAACGUGAGGAAAUUCGGAGGUAAAGGACUUGGUCAGAAUCCAAGUAAAUCCAUAAUACAAGUUGCAGACUGUGACAAUAUCUGCAAGUGUCACACUGUCCCCAACCAAGAAAGUGGUUGUAGCAAGGUGAGUGUUCAAUGCACCAAGAGACCUCUUCAAAGCAGAUAUCGCAAGUUCCUCAGCUUGAGCAAUGUAAAUAACAUAUCCCAAUCUUGGAUACAACCAUCGUCCUAAGUUUGUAUCAAUCUCAAAUGAUGCAAAGUCAAUCCAUUGCUCAAUCUGGGCAUAUUCAAUGAGUGAAGAGCCAUGAAGAGGAUUAUCAGGCUUUGUGCGAGUAACAUAACGUGCAAUUGCAUUACUCUCAAAGACAGCCCCAUCAGGUGUCUCCAGUACAGGUAUCUUGCCAAGGGGAUUCAUCUUAAGAAAAUCUGGAGUUUUGUUUGAAACACCCAUUUCAAAGUUCUUAACAAGUUCAAUCUUAACACCACUGUACUCUGCAGCAAUCAGUGCCUUGUAAGCAUUUUUAUUGUUGGCAUGGGUAUGCAACACCAGGGACGCCAUGGAUCUCGAGCGGGGAAGGAGCUGAGGAGUGGCGGCGAGGGUGAAUCUAACCGAAGGGAGUAAACCCUAAUUCGCA